UUUCUUAUUAUUUUUAUUUUAUUUUUUCAUUUUUAAUAUAUUUUCUUUUUUUUAACUGUUUUUCUAUUGUAUUUUUUUUAAAAUUUUACUGUUUUUCUAUUGUAAUUUUUUUUAAAUUUUAUUGUUUUUCUUUUACAUUAUUUUAUAUAUAGUUUAGUCAAGUAAAUAUUAUCAUAAUAAGAAGCAAUAAUUGAUAUGUACAAAUGUAAUAUUUCAAAAAUAU
rnacentral:lncRNA from 1 species